rnacentral:rRNA from 1 species
GAUGAACGCUGGCGGCGUGCCUAAUACAUGCAAGUCGAGCGAACAGACGAGGAGCUUGCUCCUCUGACGUUAGCGGCGGACGGGUGAGUAACACGUGGAUAACCUACCUAUAAGACUGGGAUAACUUCGGGAAACCGGAGCUAAUACCGGAUAAUAUAUUGAACCGCAUGGUUCAAUAGUGAAAGACGGUUUUGCUGUCACUUAUAGAUGGAUCCGCGCCGCAUUAGCUAGUUGGUAAGGUAACGGCUUACCAAGGCAACGAUGCGUAGCCGACCUGAGAGGGUGAUCGGCCACACGGGAACUGAGACACGGUCCAGACUCCUACGGGAGGCAGCAGUAGGGAAUCUUCCGCAAUGGGCGAAAGCCUGACGGAGCAACGCCGCGUGAGUGAUGAAGGUCUUCGGGUCGUAAAACUCUGUUAUUAGGGAAGAACAAAUGUGUAAGUAACUAUGCACGUCUUGACGGUACCUAAUCAGAAAGCCACGGCUAACUACGUG